rnacentral:snRNA from 1 species
GGACAUGAGGGUGAUCUGGCUGCAACAUGUCACCCCAUUGACUGCCAGCACUGAUUUGUCUGAUCAGGCUGGCUAGGCAAACUUCUUCGCUCACUGCUCCAUGUGUGUCCUUCCCAAAGCUGUGCACCGGGUCGAGAGCACAACCACCGACCAAGGAGGGCUGUUCCCUUGGUCAAGGGUGUCAGGGUACUUUUGCUCCUCUGCUAGAACCUCCAAACAAGCUCCCAAAAUUGCCCCGAAGGUCCUCAAAUUUGGAAUUUUUUUACUUCCGCCUGUUGAGAAGCUGGGAUUAUAGGUGUUUGCCACAAUGCCUGCCAAAACAU